UCGAGCAUCUUCGGCAAUGGGCGAAAGCCUGACCGAGCGACGCCGCGUGUGCGAUGAAGGCCUUCGGGUUGUAAAGCACUGUCGUGGGGGAGAAAAGCCGCAAGGCUUGAUCGACCCCAGGAGGAAGCUCGGGCUAAGUUCGUGCCAGCAGCCGCGGUAAGACGAACCGAGCGAACGUUAUUCGGAAUCACUGGGCUUAAAGGGCGCGUAGGCGGGUCAGCAAGUCAGGGGUGAAAUCCCACGGCUCAACCGUGGAAGUGCCUUUGAUACUGUUGAUCUCGAGGGAGGUAGGGGCGUGCGGAACUUCCGGUGGAGCGGUGAAAUGCGUAGAUAUCGGAAGGAACACCGGUGGCGAAAGCGGCGCGCUGGACCUCUUCUGACGCUGAGGCGCGAAAGCCAGGGGAGCAAACG
rnacentral:rRNA from 1 species